rnacentral:rRNA from 1 species
UACGAAGGGUGCAAACGUUGUUCGGAAUUACUGGGCGUAAAGGGCUCGUAGGCGGCCAACUAAGUCGGACGUGAAAUCCCUCGGCUUAACCGGGGAACUGCGUCCGAUACUGGAUGGCUUGAGUUUGGGAGAGGGAUGCGGAAUUCCAGGUGUAGCGGUGAAAUGCGUAGAUAUCUGGAGGAACACCGGUGGCGAAGGCGGCAUCCUGGACCGAUAUUGACGCUGAUGCGCGAAAGCCAGGGGAGCAAACGGGG